GGCUCGGUGGUGGAUGGUCCACACCUGCAAUACAUGAACACUUGCCAAAUCGCUUGUAGGAGUAGCCCGUUCGAUUCGGGCCCGAGCCA